CUCGUUGUUCUCUCUGUGUCAUUUGUCUUCCUCUUAUCAGAAGCUCUAUCUACUAGUUUUGAUUCCAAGUUGAACUAUAUGGAGAGGUCUUGGGAAACAGGAUGAGGCUAGGAUGCAGCUGUUGGGGAUGUUACAAUAACUACGAAUAGGACAAGAAUGGUUGAUUUUACACAGCCUUAAUUACAUGGAAUCAGGACUAGUUGUAGUUGUUCCUGUCAAACAGGUAAAAUCAAACCCUUGGGCUUUCCUGAAGCCAUUUACUAUUGAGAUGUGGUUAGUCACCGGUGCAUUCUUCCUUUUUGUGGGAGUCGUUGUUUGGAUUCUAGAGCACAGGAUUAAUCACGAGUUCCGUGGUCCACCAAGGGAACAGCUCAUGACUAUUUUUUGGUUUAGUUUCUCGACGAUGUUCUUCUCACAUAGUAUGUAUUUCAUGCUUAAUCUUCAUUGAUCUCAGGAAUGCAAUUCCUGUUAGGAACUUCUAACAUCCUCUGUUACUGAACUUGGCUCAGGAGAGAACACUGAGCACUCAAGGACGGCUGGUGCUGAUUAUAUGGUUGUUUGUGGUGUUGAUUAUCAAUUCAAGCUAUACAGAUAGUUUGACAUCGAUCCUCACUGUACAACAGCUGACAUCACGGAUUGAGGGGAUAGACAGCUUGAUAUCAAGUAAUGAUCCAAUCGGAGUUCAAGAUGGGUCAUUUGCAUGGAAUUAUUUGGUUAAUGAGCUCAACAUAGCGGAAGUUGUCAAAACAAUGGUUGCCAAGGGAUAUGUUCUGGGACAAGAUGCAUUAAUCAAGGGGAUUUGUCAAAAUAAUGAGUCCUAUCAAGUAUCGGUUGCUACAACGUCCAAGGUUUAUGAGUUAGCAAUUGAAUAUGGGCUCAUCAAGGCAAAGAAG